UUAAGCGACUAAGCGUACACGGUGGAUGCCCUGGCAGUCAGAGGCGAUGAAGGACGUGCUAAUCUGCGAAAAGCGUCGGUAAGGUGAUAUGAACCGUUACAGCCGGCGAUGUCCGAAUGGGGAAACCCAGUGCAAUUCGUUGCACUAUCGUUAACUGAAUACAUAGGUUAACGAGGCGAACCGGGGGAACUGAAACAUCUAAGUACCCCGAGGAAAAGAAAUCAACCGAGAUUCCCCCAGUAGCGGCGAGCGAACGGGGAGCAGCCCAGAGUCUGAAUCAGCUUGUGUGUUAGUGGAACGGUCUGGAAAGUCCGACGGUACAGGGUGAUAGUCCCGUACACCAAAAUGCACAGGCUGUGAACUCGAAGAGUAGGGCGGGACACGUGGUAUCCUGUCUGAAUAUGGGGGGACCAUCCUCCAAGGCUAAAUACUCCUGACUGACCGAUAGUGAACCAGUACCGUGAGGGAAAGGCGAAAAGAACCCCGGCGAGGGGAGUGAAAAAGAACCUGAAACCGUGUACGUACAAGCAGUGGGAGCACCUUCGGGUGUGACUGCGUACCUUUUGUAUAAUGGGUCAGCGACUUAUAUUCUGUAGCAAGGUUAACCGUAUAGGGGAGCCGCAGGGAAACCGAGUCUUAACUGGGCGUUAAGUUGCAGGGUAUAGACCCGAAACCCGGUGAUCUAGCCAUGGGCAGGUUGAAGGUUGGGUAACACUAACUGGAGGACCGAACCGACUAAUGUUGAAAAAUUAGCGGAUGACUUGUGGCUGGGGGUGAAAGGCCAAUCAAACCGGGAGAUAGCUGGUUCUCCCCGAAAGCUAUUUAGGUAGCGCCUCGUGAAUUCAUCUUCGGGGGUAGAGCACUGUUUCGGCUAGGGGGUCAUCCCGACUUACCAACCCGAUGCAAACUACGAAUACCGAAGAAUGUUAUCACGGGAGACACACGGCGGGUGCUAACGUCCGUCGUGAAGAGGGAAACAACCCAGACCGCCAGCUAAGGUCCCAAAGUCAUGGUUAAGUGGGAAACGAUGUGGGAAGGCACAGACAGCCAGGAUGUUGGCUUAGAAGCAGCCAUCAUUUAAAGAAAGCGUAAUAGCUCACUGGUCGAGUCGGCCUGCGCGGAAGAUGUAACGGGGCUAAACCAUGCACCGAAGCUGCGGCAGCGACACUAUGUGUUGUUGGGUAGGGGAGCGUUCUGUAAGCCUGCGAAGGUGACCUGUGAGGGUUGCUGGAGGUAUCAGAAGUGCGAAUGCUGACAUAAGUAACGAUAAAGCGGGUGAAAAGCCCGCUCGCCGGAAGACCAAGGGUUCCUGUCCAACGUUAAUCGGGGCAGGGUGAGUCGACCCCUAAGGCGAGGCCGAAAGGCGUAGUCGAUGGGAAACAGGUUAAUAUUCCUGUACUUGGUGUUACUGCGAAGGGGGGACGGAGAAGGCUAUGUUAGCCGGGCGACGGUUGUCCCGGUUUAAGCAUGUAGGCUGGUUAUCCAGGCAAAUCCGGAUAAUCAAGGCUGAGGUGUGAUGACGAGGCACUACGGUGCUGAAGUAACAAAUGCCCUGCUUCCAGGAAAAGCCUCUAAGCAUCAGGUAACAUCAAAUCGUACCCCAAACCGACACAGGUGGUCAGGUAGAGAAUACCAAGGCGCUUGAGAGAACUCGGGUGAAGGAACUAGGCAAAAUGGUGCCGUAACUUCGGGAGAAGGCACGCUGGUGUGUAGGUGAAGUCCCUGCGGAUGGAGCUGAGACCAGUCGAAGAUACCAGCUGGCUGCAACUGUUUAUUAAAAACACAGCACUGUGCAAACACGAAAGUGGACGUAUACGGUGUGACGCCUGCCCGGUGCCGGAAGGUUAAUUGAUGGGGUUAUCCGUAAGGAGAAGCUCUUGAUCGAAGCCCCGGUAAACGGCGGCCGUAACUAUAACGGUCCUAAGGUAGCGAAAUUCCUUGUCGGGUAAGUUCCGACCUGCACGAAUGGCGUAAUGAUGGCCAGGCUGUCUCCACCCGAGACUCAGUGAAAUUGAACUCGCUGUGAAGAUGCAGUGUACCCGCGGCAAGACGGAAAGACCCCGUGAACCUUUACUAUAGCUUGACACUGAACAUUGAGCCUUGAUGUGUAGGAUAGGUGGGAGGCUUUGAAGCGUGGACGCCAGUCUGCGUGGAGCCAACCUUGAAAUACCACCCUUUAAUGUUUGAUGUUCUAACGUUGGCCCCUGACCGGGGUUGCGGACAGUGUCUGGUGGGUAGUUUGACUGGGGCGGUCUCCUCCCAAAGCGUAACGGAGGAGCACGAAGGUUAGCUAAUCCUGGUCGGACAUCAGGAGGUUAGUGCAAUGGCAUAAGCUAGCUUGACUGCGAGCGUGACGGCGCGAGCAGGUGCGAAAGCAGGUCAUAGUGAUCCGGUGGUUCUGAAUGGAAGGGCCAUCGCUCAACGGAUAAAAGGUACUCCGGGGAUAACAGGCUGAUACCGCCCAAGAGUUCAUAUCGACGGCGGUGUUUGGCACCUCGAUGUCGGCUCAUCACAUCCUGGGGCUGAAGUAGGUCCCAAGGGUAUGGCUGUUCGCCAUUUAAAGUGGUACGCGAGCUGGGUUUAGAACGUCGUGAGACAGUUCGGUCCCUAUCUGCCGUGGGCGCUGGAGAAUUGAGGGGGGCUGCUCCUAGUACGAGAGGACCGGAGUGGACGCAUCACUGGUGUUCGGGUUGUCAUGCCAAUGGCACUGCCCGGUAGCUAAAUGCGGAAGAGAUAAGUGCUGAAAGCAUCUAAGCACGAAACUUGCCCCGAGAUGAGUUCUCCCUGAGACUUUAAGUCUCCUGAAGGAACGUUAAAGACGAUGACGUUGAUAGGCCGGGUGUGUAAGCGCAGCGAUGCGUUGAGCUAACCGGUACUAAUGAACCGUGAGGCUUAACCUU
rnacentral:rRNA from 1 species